UUUUUUGCCAAUGGUGCCAAGUAAUGUGAAUGCUAAUACUGCUUAAGAAAAUUAAGUUACUUUUGCAAAACAGAUAAUCAUAAGAUGAAAUCAGUAUGUAGCUUAACACCAUCCACUCACUCCAACAAAGAACACUUAGAAUGAUUUAAAAACCUGACAAAAGAAAUAGUGUGAAAAGUAGAAAAACGUCACGUUUCCAUAUCUCCUGCUGGAAAUCAGAAAAUGUAAUAAAAUUGCACACAAAAAAAUAAAAGGAAAAAGAUGCAGACUGGUCUUUUAGAGAUGGCAUGGUAUAUUACUAUUUCCACAUAAUGAGGAGCCAAAGAAAUCUGAUGCUUUUAACAAUUAAACUACUAAUGUUAAAUUGAGAGGAUAAAGUUUGCAUUUGCUGAUGCCAGUUUAAAAUUCCCAGGUUACGUUUGAGGAUCAGUUGGUGUAAAGCUGAGAUGUUUUUUCUUGGUUCUGGCUGCCAACUGUGAGUUAAAACUCAAGGCUUGUUGUGAAGCCUAAAAAUAUUCACAAAUAAGCCUUUAAACUGGUGUCUUUGGAAGGAAGGUAGAUACAAAAAGAUUGUGGUAAAAACUGGGGUCAGUGCUCUUGGUGCCUUUUCUAUAAUUGUACUUGUUUUUUAAUUACUUCCUUUCACUGCCAACCUCGAAUUACUGUACAGUAUAUGUCUUUCUGCUUGUGAUCGGCUUUGACAACAGUGACAGCCCCACAACUAGUAGCCACCUGUACAUUUGUAAACUGACCUGACUCAAUUUUGUUUUUAAAUGUGUGGGUUAUGUUGCAGCUGUUGCAGUCCCCCAGAUACCUAUUAUUUUACACAAUUUGACCUAUAGGAGGACACUUGAGUAAUUUACAAACACAACUGCAUUCAUAAACGAGAAUAGAACGUGAAAGCCAGCUCUUUCAGAAUAUCCUCUAGUAAUACUGAAUUUAGAUAUCUUUAUUCCAUAUAUUAUGGUACAAAUAACUGAUCUUUGACCAGAGUAAUGACCUCAGUGGAUUUGCUUUAACCCUCACGUUUUUUUUUUUUUUAAUGUUUCACAUGUUACAUUAUUAGCUGAAUACGUUAGAAAAUGACAGAUGAUAGAGAGUUCCAUAGAAUUAAGAGGGUUCUCAUGGAGGGGAUAGGAAGUAGGUUUGAAGCCUACUGGUGUAACCUACCAGUACAACUGUGAAUCCUAGGUGAGGCAAAAAGGCACUUCCACUGAAACGAAGCAUUUCUGACCGCUUUUUCUUGGUUAUGACUCUUAAUUUCGAAUAUAAGAUGAUAGGUAAGCGCAGCUUUCUUGGAUAAUCUGAAUUCCCAAGUGCCAGGAGUAGGAUUUCAUUAUAAAAGUAAUAGCUAAUCUUAUUCUAUCUCCUGAAGAUUUAAUUGCUAUUCUUGUUACCCAUUCGAAAUCAGCUGUACUGUGUGAACAAAAUAAAGACAAUUAACACGAACCCCUCUCUGGCUGCACGGUCGCUUAUGGCAGUUCCACACAGUAGUUGGCGCCCAAUGGGGGGUCCCUGAGACUUGCAUGUAAAACUAGUCUAGAUGUCUUCUUUUUUGUAAGUUUUAUUUUUGUAAUUGUGCAUGUAAAGCAUCAUUGAAUCAAUGGAUCUGUUGAAGAACUCAGCUGCUGGAAACCAUGCAAAAUGUUUUGAAUUGCCCUUAAAAUAUGGAAAAUGUUUUCUGAAUGCUUUAUAUUCUUUCUGCUGUAAAUUAAAAAUGAAGAAAAUUUCCCCA
rnacentral:lncRNA from 1 species